CCAAAAGUUAUCUUUGACUAAGAUUAUUGAAAUUAAAACCUCAAGUUCCAGGGGACAAUUAAUAAAUAUAUGUCCAUUUCAUUAAAUGAAGCAAAAAGAAAGAAAAGCUAAAUAUUGAGAUCCAUGAUCAAAUUUAUGUAAUUGGAAAAGAUAUUUUUCUUGACUACACAUUUUGGAGCUACUGAUAUCUCCUGGGAAUGCCAGACCAGGAGUACCAAAAAGAACAAUUUUCCAGAAGUCGUUACACUUUUUUUUUAUUAUAAUGAUUUUGCCUGAAUCAGAUGAACUGUUCUGAUUUUCCUCUAGUGUAGUGACCUUACUAGCAAUGAUUCUUCACUUAUUUUGGCAAAAAUUUUGUUUUGGUUGAAUUAUUUUCAUUAUUUUGAUGUUUAUUAACGUCCUCAUUGGGUAGGGAGAUGUGGGGCUGAGAAGGAACUGCAGUCAAAAAGAAGAGGUUUAACUUGAAUGAAUCAGGUUUGCAUCUUACUAUAAGUGUGUGAUUUUUUUUUUUUUAAAGGAGAAACCAGAGAUUUAAAAAUAGUAAAAGAUGACAUGUUGAAAUCCAAGCCCCCAGUACCUCCAAAGUAACCUUACUUGGAAUGAGGGUCUUUGCAGAAUGUGGGUUUGGACACUAGAACCAUAAGACCAUAAAGUUUUGUUUUGUUAACCCCUAAAAAAAAUUGUUUUUCAUGUUUGCAUAUUUUCCAUCAAUAUUAUAUAUACUAUAGUUUGAAUUUAACUUGAUGAAUAUUUUGAUGUAUAUGAUAUCCUGACCUACCGUUUAUGAUUAUGGAAUAUUCCUAAUAAUGUAAGAUUUAUGGAAGCUCUUCUUAGGAACAUUUUAUUUAGCUGGCUGUCUCCAAACAUCUUCACAGCUUUUGAUUUAACUACUUAAAAUUUUUUAAUGUUAGAAUAACUGAAAACCAAUAUCAUAUAUCUUCAUUAUUGAAGGCAUAAUAUUACUAUGGGUUAGUAAUAUUUGUGGACCAAUGAUUAACAUUACACAAGGAGUAAGCACAAAAUAAGUAACAGUCACAUGAAGAAGUCUUUUACUAGUCCUUCAAGUAUAGCAUUCCAGAAGGGCUCUAAUUAUUCUUCCUAAAACUUCCCCUUUUAAUACUGAAGCACUACCCUGUGUGUCACACUCUUGGCUCACAAUAUUGUUCUCUGGGAUUAGAAUCAAUGUUCUGCUUGGGCCCCACUCAAGAGCUACAAACCACCUUCUCUCUUCUUUCACUCUUUCCCCUCAUCUUGCAAUCAGCAAGUCAUAACAAUUAACUAAUUGUAUCUCCACAAUCACAUUGUGUUUUCUUCCUUUAUCCUUCCCUGUUCUAGUUCAAGUUCAUUAUUUAUUAUGUCUUGUCAGAUCAACCACAGUACAUUUCUCCUAUCUGUCGUCCUACCUACCCCCUUCUACAUCCACAUGGUAGACAACAUUCAAAUGCAGAAAUAGGAUGGCAUCAUUCCCCUUAGGGAAAAACCUUAGCUAGGCACCCAUUGUAUCAGUCAGGGUUUGUGACUGCAGGCUCAGAGAACAAUUCUAGUUUUCUAGUGAUGAAAAUGGAAUCGAAUGCAGAUUUAAUGGAAGGCUGGAGAACCAAAUUUGAAAAAUGUGUGUGGGGAAAGGCCAGUUGGAUGGCGUUUUCGCAGGAAACGUUUGGCCAGGAUGCUGCUGCUGCUGCCAGGGCUGUCAUCAGGAGACAAGAGAGGGCUCUUGGCUUCCGCAGUGUGAGGAGAGGUGUGGCAUCACAUGGACACUACAUGUGGGGGGAUGCCCUAGAUUGUGAGGGACGUGGAUGCUGGGCAGCCACACCAAACAAGCCCCCCACCCUUUCCUGCAUGCAAAACAAACAAAAAACUACACAGGUCAAUUAAUUACUUAAGGCCUAACCUUGUUAGCAUUGCAGUUACACUUCCAUGCUUCCAAGAAAUAUUUAAAAAUAAUUUCUUGCUGAGAUCUCCCCUUCUACUAUGAACCAUUUGUGUUCCCUGCAAAUUCAUAUGUUGAAGUCCUAAUUGCCAAUGGGAUGGUACUAAGAGACAGGGGCUUUGGCGGGUAACUAGGUUUAGAUGAUGUCUUAGGGGUAGAGCACCUCUAAUGGGAUUAGUGUCCACAUAAGAAGAGCAAAGGAGACCAAAGUUCCCUCUCUCUCCAUGCAUGCAAAGAAAACAUCACAUGAGCACACAGUAAGAUGGAAGAUCUCUGCAAGACAGAAAGUGAGUCCUCACCAGGAACCGAAUCUGCCAGUGCCUUGAUCUUGGACUUCCCAGCUUCCAGAACCAUGAGAAAUGUCUGUUAUUUAAGCCACCCAGUCCCUAGCCCUUUGUUCAAGCAGCCAAGCUGACUACCACCUCUUCCAAAAUGUCAGCUAUGCCUUAGUCAUCUUGGACAACUAAUUUUUCUCUCAAGUUGAUACACAAUUUUCACAUUCAUGUCUGGGUACAUGCUGUUCCCUCAACUCUGGAUUUCGCAACUGUGACACUCUUGACAUUAUGGGCUGGAUAAUUUUCUUUAUGAGGGAGGAGUAUCCUUUGCAUUAUAGGAAGUUUAAUAGCCUCCCUGGCCUCUACUUACAAUAAGCACAUCUCCAGUUGUAAAAACUAAAACUGUCUCCAGAUAUUGCCAGUCUUUUCUAGGGAGUAAAUUUACCCCAGGUGAAGACGACAACUAAGGAGAAAUGAUGAAAUGUAAUUUCAGAUCCUAGAAAAAGAAAUCUGUGGAAAAAAUUUGUGAAAUCCAAAUAAGGCCUUAGUUAAUAGCAUAGUAUCCAUUCAAUUUCUUGGUUCUGAUAAUUAUAGCACAUUUAUGUAAGAUGUUGCUUUAAGAAAUGUUGAGUGGGAGCUCCUGGUUUCUGGUUCUCCAGGUAAGAAGCUUGGAAGUUGCCAUGCCAUCUGAACAAUAAGGAAAAGCUGAACAGACUGAAAAAAAUCAAAGACUCU
rnacentral:lncRNA from 1 species